GGCCCUGGGAAGCCAAAAGAUUGGAUAUCUCUGCAUUAGAGAGACCCUGAAACAACACGGAGAGAGAGAGAGAGAGAGUCCAGUUGUGCCAGUGUCCAGCAGAGUCCUGCUGUCUGGUCAUCUCUGCCAAGGUGCUAGAAAAGUGACUGAGCCAUCUUGACUGUCCAGUUUAGUGGAACCCUCAACUAACUGUGGUCCCAGCUGACAUCACACCAAGCAGAAGAACCACGCAGUUGAGCCUGUCAACUCACAGAAUUGUGAGAAAUAAUAAAAUGCAUCUAUUGUUGGGGUGAUCGGACCCAACACCAGGUUGUGGGAGCGAUGAAGUCUGGAAGAGUGAAAGGAAUGAGAAAAGACAGUUUGAGAGAGAAAGUGGGUCCAGGGGGCCAAUGCGAAUAUGGAGGCUGUGAAGGCCCUGAGCCCUGGAAGCCCAGACUACUUAUUGGUGAUCAAACAAAGAAACAGAGGCUGGGGAGUCCAAGAUCAAAACACGAGCAGAUUCGGUUGUCUGGCAAGGGCUGCUGUCUGCUUCCAAGAUGGCCUCUGUAGCUACAUCCUCUGAAGAGGAGGCACAUGAUGUCCUCACAUGUGGCAGAAGGGAGUGAGUGAGAGAUGAGGACGUAACAUUCAUCAUGGUGCUACAAAAGCUGUUUCCUAAAGGUACUGCGGUAUGACCACAUGUUUAAGAGUCCUAAAACCCUAUAUAAGAAGUCAGUCCCUAACUGAACCCAUACACAAAUCAACAGGCUCAUUCCUGCAGCAGCACCAUGGUGCCAUCAAGUGGACAGCUUUUGAACAAUUCAACUCAUUGUGAACUGGCAAAUCACUUUGGAACUGGAGCAUUUAUGGCCCACUCACUUAAGCAUGACAGCGCUGCAUACAGGAAUAAUAUUUUCAUGGCGACUCCUUACUAGAUAUUUAAUAAAGAUCAGUAUGGUCAACAAAAUAUGGAUUGUUGUGAAAAUUUUGAUUACAAAACAUAGUGAUUUUGCUGAAAUGAAAGGAAGAAAGAAGUUUAAUGGAUAAAACAUGUAAUAAUUUCUGAAUUAUGGUUGUGUAGACAGCAUGAAAUGGGAUUUGUCUCCAGAAGUAGAAAGCAGCUGGUGAGUAUGAAGUCUUUUUUUCUAGAGAUGGCUUUUAUGGGUAAGGUUGGAGACUAACUCUACUAUUCAGAUUAAUCAGAUUUUCUUGGGCAGAAUGCUUCUGGAACCCCCUGCAAAGACUCUUUUCCUCCUCAGCAAAUUACUUAAUGAAAACACCAGAUUACACAAAACAAACGGAUUUUUCCCAUUUAUCUCAAUCAAGCUUUGAUGGUUUUGUUUUUAUUUCUACAACAAGAAAAUAAUGGGACAAUUUUGUUUUACAAAGUCUGGAUUCAUUGCCUCACCUGUGCAUAACUUUCCAAGAAAAUUUCACUGGAGGUUUGAGAAAAGUAUUGGCGACUCAACAAUUUCCAGUUAAAGACCUUGUGAUGAGACUCAAAUACAAGCUAAAAUAAUCAUCGUAUUUUACCAACUAGCUACUCUUCAAAGAGAAAAGUGACUUAGAUAUUCUAAGUGUGCUUCUCUGUAGCAUAUGCCAAGAACAUUUACUGAUUCUUUACUAUGUGUUAGAACUCUGCAAUUCAUAUUAUGGAUCCAAAAAUGAACAAGACUACUCUAGCUGUCACCAGCCUGGUGGGUAGACCCAACAGACCAUCAUAUGACAAAGCAACAUAGGCCAUUAAUGGAGACUGGGCUGGAGGUAGAGAGAGGUAAAGGGGAUGGAAGAAGAAGAGGAGAGGUAAGCGUUGAAAGAGAAUUUCCCCAACAGUUAGUGGGGAAAAACAUUCUGAGCAGGUGAUACAGCAGGAGGAAAGACACACAGGUAUAAAAGUUCAUGAUGUAUUUAGGGAGUAGCUUGUACGGUAGGCUGAAGCAGAAAGCUGGGAAUUGGAGAAGUGAUGAGAAGUGUACUUGGAAAAGUAGUUUGGGGCCAGAGUGUGAAGGGCUGUGGAUACCACACUAAAAAGGAAUUUGGUAUUUCUUCUUGAUGGCACUUAAGACUUUUGGGGAUCCAUGAAAGGGAAUGAAAGAAACCACUACUAUGGCCAGGUGGAUGCUUUAGGUAGACAAUUGAUGGCAAAGAAGAGGAUAAUUUGGAGAGGAGAGUGAUUCAUUUACGGAGAAUGACAGACUCUUGCAAGAAUCCAUGUAGGCAAUCCAUGAAGGUCUAAAUGAAGGAAGUGGAAAAGGAUAAGAAACUGUAUAUUUAAAAGGCAUUUAUGAAGUGGAAUUAAUAUAACCUACAAUCAACUGCAUAUAGAGAUGGGCAGCAAGAGAGAAAAGAAAGUGGAGAUAAGUCUGAAGUCUCUAGGCUGAGAGAUUGUGUAAAUAGUAAUACCUAAGGCUAGGUUUUAUGGGGUAUAUGGUAAGUAGGGUUUUUGACAAAGCUGAGUUUGAGAAAGUAAGCGGAAAAAGUCUAUAGGUUAUGGGAAACAUGAAUCUAGAAUUCAGGAGAAAUGUCAGGCUGGUGGUAGAGUUUGGGAAUCAUCUUCACAGGAGUAUUAUUAAAACUGAAAGUCGUAGUAGAUGAAAUCAUCCAGGGAGAGAGGGACAGGGAUCACAGAAAGAUUUUAUGUCGCUUAUCAUCUCCAAAUGAUUGAUAGCUUUCUCAGGUGCUGUGUUGGGAAAGAAUUUAAGGCUACCAUCAGGCAGAGUGGGAAGGAGUUCCAUGAAUGAUGAGUAGUAUCUGCCAUUGGCUCCAGAGAGGGAAGUGAUUGCACCUGUAUCAGAUGUUAGAUGUUGGAAGAAACUUCAGAGCAAACUUCUGGAAAACACCAAUCCUUAAGGGAUGGUGGGAAGGUUGUGCCAGCAAAAGAGAAUAAAAAGAGCAGUCUGAGUCAGCAGGGAAACAGACCGGUAUAUGGUUCCUGUAGAUCUCAUAUUCAGUAAAUAUUUACUAAAGGAAUGGAUGAGUUAAUAAUAUCAAGUGUUGACAGUUGUACUGCAAUUGGAGCAACAGAAUAAGCCAGCAGCAUGAUCCAUAACAACCAGCAAUUACUUAAAGAGUGUAAUUGGAUUGUUUGUAACUCAAAGGAUAAAUGCUUGAGGGGAUGGAUACCCCAUUCUCCAUGAUGUGCUUAUUUCACAUUGCAUGCCUGUAUCAAAACAUCUCAUAUGCCCCAUAAAUAUAUACACUUGCUACGUACCCACAAAAAAAUUUAAAAAAGUAAAAUAAAAUAAAAUAUUCAGUAAUUAUAAUAAAUAUGGUGAGAUAAGAAAGUCCAGAGAAGGAAGAAAUCACAUCUAUUUCUAUUGCAGAAGGGAAGAUCAGAAAGGCCUCUUUGGAAAAUGUAGGAUUUGCAUUGAGCCUUAAAGGAAGAACACACACAAUUUUAGUCAGCCAGUGGGCAGUAGAAGUUAGGCAGUACAGAUAACUUGAACAAUGGUGAAGGAGGGAAAGUUGUGGCAGGUUCUGGCACAGAAUAUGGACCAAUUGUAUCAUAGAAGACAUGGGGAAUCUUGAGUCUCUGACUCUGCUUGUCACCACCCUGUCUUACUCAACCUCACCCCUCUGUGUCUCCUUGGCUUUGGGUCAGGCAUUGGCCACUUGGAGUUCUGCCAAUAGAGAAAGAAGCAUCCUGGUGCCCCCGGCGCCCCCCCGUGUCUGUUUCUAUCUCUUAUGCUUCAUAAUGCUCUAUGAUGAUGCCAGCAAGAGGUUUAGGAAGCCAGCUUCCCCUAGCUGUUUGAAGGAAGAAUUUGCUGAUGUAAGUCUGAAAACCUCAGAGGACCUGAAACAAAAGAAUGAUCACAAAAAAUGGGAAGGCAGAAAUUAGUUAUUUAGCCUGUGUUGUAAGGAGGUGCUCAGGAAGGACUCCAAUAUUGAUUUCUGGUCUUUUGGUAGCUUUAAGGAUUGAAAACCAUGAUUUAUCUUUGGAUAAAGUUCUCCCUUUUUUUUUUCUAGGAAGAAUACUUUUUUUUGAUAAGAAUUUUAAUCAUGCAGAUGUGAUGAUGCACCCUACUUAUUUUUCUAGCAGAAGCCCUGAGUUGGUAACAUAAACUCAGCUUAGUAGCUUUGCUUGUGAGGAAAUGCUGGACUUUUGACUUUCCUGUUCCAGAAUUUGGUAUAAGCUUCUUGAUGGCAAGAUCUACCUUUUAUGCUUCUUUUUAUCUUCCAAAAAACCUAACAUUUUACUUUGCUCAAUACUUUAUUCUGUGUCGACUGAAUAUUGCCUGGCCAUCUACUUUACUCAGCAUUAUUUGACCAUGUAACAUUGAAGUAGAUAAGCCUCUUGUAUUAGUCUGUUCUCAUGCUGCUAAUAAAAACAUACCUGAGACUGGGUAAGUUACAAAGGAAAUAAGUUUAAUUGACUCACAGUUCCACAUGGCACGGUGGAAUUCAAGAUGAGAUUUGGGUGGGGAUACAGCCAAACAUAUCAGCUCUGAAAAAGGUUUACAUCAUCUCCUGGGGAUAAUGGUUUAAAUAAUACUUAUUUUUAAAGGUAUAAAAUUAAUUCAUAUUUCACAACAGCCAAAAGUUGGAAAUAACUCAAAUGUCCAUCAAUAGAUAAACGGAUAAACAAAAUGUGAUAGAUACAUACAAUGGACUGUUAUUCAGCCAUAAAAGGAAAUGGCAUUCUGAUACAUGCUAUAACAUGAAUAAAUCUUAAAAACAUUAUUCUAAGUCAAAGAAGAUGCAGACAUAAAAGACAGCAUCUUUUAUGAUUCCAUAUAUACAUAAAAUAUCUGGAAUAGGCAAAUUCAUAGAGACAGAAAGCAGAUUAUUGGUUGUCAGGAACUGGAGAGAAUGGAGAAUGGGAAGUAAAUUCAUAUUGUACAAGGAGUUUUCCUUUUGAGGUGAUGAAGAAUUUCUGGAACUAAAUAGUAGAGAUGGUUGCACAAGAUCAUGAAUGAACUUAAUACACUGAACUGUACAUUUAAAAAUGGUUACAAUGGCAUAUUUUAUGUUAUAUGUAUCUUACUAAAAUAAAAAAUAAACUAUAAAAGUUAGUUUCAUGUUCAUUUAGAAAAUUUAUCCCCCACAAAAUUACAUUCCUUGAGAGUUGGGGUUGCCAGAUAAAAUACUAUACAUAUAGUAAAACCUAUUCAUUGUUUACCUGAAAUUCAAAUUUAACUGGAUAUGCUAUGUUUUUAUUUGCUAAAUCUGGCAACCCUAUUGAAAGUAGAAAUUUUGUUUUUAUCAUUACUUUAUCCAAGCUCUUAGGGCAGUGUCUGGAAAAUUGUAGUUCCUCAAUAAUAGUUACAUGGAUAUAAAUUUGAAGAGACAUCUAAAAAUGAAACUAUAGAAAUGAACUAAAAGCAUUCAUAGAUCUGUAAACCAAGGAAAAUAACUCAGAAUUUUUGUUUAUUUCCACCUAGCACCUUUUUCUGUGUUUUUCUUUCCCUCUUCUUUGUUGUCAUUACUAUAGUAUGACUGCACAUCCCAUUUUUUUCACUGGUGACUUUAACAUAAGCAAUCAUCAUAGCACCAAGCUCUCCUAAUAAACAUAAAAUC